rnacentral:rRNA from 1 species
CGUUAGCGGCGGACGGGUGAGUAACACGUAGGUAACCUACCUAUAAGACUGGGAUAACUUCGGGAAACCGGAGCUAAUACCGGAUAAUAUUUCGAACCGCAUGGUUCGAUAGUGAAAGGUGGCUUUGCUAUCACUUAUAGAUGGACCUGCGCCGUAUUAGCUAGUUGGUAAGGUAACGGCUUACCAAGGCAACGAUGCGUAGCCGACCUGAGAGGGUGAUCGGCCACACUGGAACUGAGACACGGUCCAG